UGUCAGUCACGAUUUGCUGCAAAGGGAAAAAAGGCGUCCUUGAGGAGGCGGCCGAGACGGACGCGCCGCUUCAUCGCCUGCGCCGUUCCUCUUCCUCCGAGCAGCUCUGGCUGAGUCGCUCUGGCUGCCACGGUGAUGCAACAUCUCCAGUGAGAACACAGUGUUUCCAGCACUUUCCCUCCGCUUGUUUACUCUUGCACAUAUUUAUUUGGCUGCCCGACAGGCACAGAGACAGUGGCGCAUCAGGCCAGAAAACGAGGCGUAGAAAUGGAAUGACACAGAGAAGGAAAACAGCGGAAACUUCUCCCUCAAAGCAGUAAAGAAGCGCCGAGGAGCUAAGAGGAUCUGGAUGUCAAAUUAUGACAUUUAUUAUGGGCACCAGGCGGCGCAGGUAGAGAGACCACCUGAGGAGGAGGAGGAGGAGGAGGAACACGUGCUUUGCGAAGACCACCCACGAAGUAGCCGUCAGACAUGAAGCAAAGAACUGAGGAACUCAUCCGCGCGUCCAUCAAAUCAAAACGCUUUAUGAUGAAGAGAAGAGAAGCGCA